AUAAUACCCUGGUAGUCCACGCCCUAAACGAUGUCAACUAGCUGUUGGGGCCUUCGGGCCUUGGUAGCGCAGCUAACGCGUGAAGUUGACCGCCUGGGGAGUACGGUCGCAAGAUUAAAACUCAAAGGAAUUGACGGGGACCCGCACAAGCGGUGGAUGAUGUGGAUUAAUUCGAUGCAACGCGAAAAACCUUACCUACCCUUGACAUGUCUGGAAUCCCGAAGAGAUUUGGGAGUGCUCGCAAGAGAACCGGAACACAGGUGCUGCAUGGCUGUCGUCAGCUCGUGUCGUGAGAUGUUGGGUUAAGUCCCGCAACGAGCGCAACCCUUGUCAUUAGUUGCUACGAAAGGGCACUCUAAUGAGACUGCCGGUGACAAACCGGAGGAAGGUGGGGAUGACGUCAAGUCCUCAUGGCCCUUAUGGGUAGGGCUUCACACGUCAUACAAUGGUCGGGACAGAGGGUCGCCAACCCGCGAGGGGGAGCCAAUCCCAGAAACCCGAUCGUAGUCCGGAUCGCAGUCUGCAACUCGACUGCGUGAAGUCGGAAUCGCUAGUAAUCGCGGAUCAGCAUGUCGCGGUGAAUACGUUCCCGGGUCUUGUACACACCGCCCGUCACACCAUGGGAGUGGGUUUUACCAGAAGUAGUUAGCCUAACCGCAAGGGGGGCGAUUACCACGGUAUUCAUGACUGGGGUGAAGU
rnacentral:rRNA from 1 species